rnacentral:lncRNA from 1 species
GCAAACCUCAUUUUCCCUGCGGGAUUUAGCAGCUUGUUUGAGGAAAGCAUUGAAGUCAUUGAGAUCUCGGAGUAGAUUUUCAACUUCGCCUUUGAUUCCGAGAAUCAAAUCGGCGUUGUCGAUUAGUAAUUGCAUCAAAUUUUCUACUAAAAACUUUACUGCUACAUCCGCCAUUGUUGCAGCUCGAGCUUGCUGGUUUUGGGGAGUUGUUGACUCAGAAAGUAGUAAAGUGACGACUAAUAAUUGGGAAUUUUAUUAGUAAUUGAUUGGGGCUUUUAGAA